rnacentral:rRNA from 1 species
GACGAACGCUGGCGGCGUGCCUAAUACAUGCAAGUCGAACGCAGUGGGGACGGGUGAGUAACACGUGGGUAACCUCCCAUCAGAGGGGAUAACACUUGGAAACAGGUGCUAAACCGAUACUGAUGGAUGGACCCGCGGUGCAUUAGCUAGUUGGUGAGGUAACGGCUCACCAAGGCCACGAUGCAUAGCGGAUCGGAUAGUGUGAUCGGCCACACUGGGACGGAGACACGGCCCAGACUCAUACGGGAGGCAGCAGUGGGUAAUCUGCGGCAAUGGACGAAAGUCUGACGGAGCAACGCCGCGUGAGUGAAGAAGGUUUUCGGAUCGUAAAACUCUGUUGUUAGAGAAGCGGUAUCUAACCAUAAAGCCACGGCUAACUACGUGCCAGCAGCCGCGGUAAUAC